rnacentral:rRNA from 1 species
UCCGUAGGCGGGCAAUUAAGUCAGAGGUGAAAUCCCACAGCUCAACUGUGGAACUGCCUUUGAUACUGGUUGUCUUGAGUUACAGUGAAGUAGAUAGAAUAUGUAGUGUAGCGGUGAAAUGCAUAGAUAUUACAUAGAAUACCGAUUGCGAAGGCAGUCUACUAACUGUAUACUGACGCUAACGGACGAAAGCGUGGGGAGCGAACAGGAUUAGAUACCCUGGUAGUCC